rnacentral:lncRNA from 1 species
AGAUCAACACCUCUAUCCAGAAUAUCAUAUCCGAUAUCAGAAGUUUUGGGGAAGUGCGUAUUGAAUCUAAUCCAUGCGACAUAGUUCUGAUCAAGAAGAAGGCCAGACAAGCCCAAUUGAUGGUUCCAAUCAUUUCAAUAAAAUCCAUAGAAAAUAUACAGCUAACGAUACAUAAGACCAUCAAAACUCAAGGAAACUACGUUUACGGAUGUUGCAUGCUGCCUAGUGAUAGAUUGGCAUUUACUUACUACU